AACGAACGCUGGCGGCAUGCCUAACACAUGCAAGUCGAACGAGACCUUCGGGUCUAGUGGCGCACGGGUGCGUAACGCGUGGGAACCUGCCCUUAGGUUCGGAAUAACUCCCCGAAAGGGGUGCUAAUACCGGAUAAUGUCUUCGGACCAAAGAUUUAUCGCCUUUGGAUGGGCCCGCGUUGGAUUAGCUAGUUGGUAGGGUAAAAGCCUACCAAGGCGACGAUCCAUAGCUGGUCUGAGAGGAUGAUCAGCCACACUGGGACUGAGACACGGCCCAGACUCCUACGGGAGGCAGCAGUGGGGAAUAUUGGACAAUGGGCGAAAGCCUGAUCCAGCAAUGCCGCGUGAGUGAUGAAGGCCUUAGGGUUGUAAAGCUCUUUUACCCGGGAUGAUAAUGACAGUACCGGGAGAAUAAGCUCAGGCUAACUCCGU
rnacentral:rRNA from 1 species